rnacentral:rRNA from 1 species
CCUACGGGAGGCAGCAGUGAGGAAUAUUGGUCAAUGGGCGAAACCCUGAACCAGCCAAGUCGCGUGAGGGAAGAAGGCCCUAUGUAUCGUAAGCUCCUUUUGCAGGGGAGUAAAUGACGGCACUUGUCUCAGUAUCCCCGGCCAAAUACGUUCAAGCCGCCGCCGUACUGCGUCGGGAGCAAGCGUUAUCCGGAUUUACUGGGCGUAAAGGGAGUGUAGUGGGCAGCGCAAGUCUGGAGUGAAAUGCCGGGGCCCAACCCAGGAACUGCUUUGGAAACUGGGAGACUGGAGUGCAGGAGAGGUAGGCGGAAUUCGUGGUGUAGCGGUGAAAUGCGUAGAUAUCAGGAGGAACACCGACGGCGAAGGCAGCUUACUGGACUGUGACUGACGGUGAGGCUCGAAGGCGUGGGUAGCAAACAGGAUUAGAUACCCGGGUAGUC